rnacentral:lncRNA from 1 species
GGUUCUGCAUUUUCACCCUUCUUCUAUAUUACAAAUUAGAGCAUGAUAACUCGACAUUCUUCUUAUAGCUUUUAUAUAGAUAGAGAGAGAGAGUUGAGCUGGAAUGCUAUUGGUAGUAAAUGAGCUCCAUCGCCAUUUAUUUAUUUUCGAUGAUGGAGUUUUCAAAUCGACAAUCGGCACUGAUGAACACGAUCUAUAUCACUUGAAGUAUUUAAAAAUCAAAUUUCAAAUCUUUUCAACGGUGCCAGUUGUCGAUUUAGAAGCUCCAUUAUCGAAAAUAAAUGGGCAGUAACGAAGCCCAUUUACCGACUGUCCCUAGAGCAAGUUGCAAAGGGUUUGAUGGUUGGUACCCGAGACCCAUGUUCGAAUCCUAUCUGAUUCACAUUUCUAGCUAAGUUUAUUUCUAAAUAAAAUAAACGAAACGAAUAGCGUACUACCUAUCUCUCCAAAAAAAAAAAUAAUAAUAACGAAGCCCGUUUGCUAGCUACCGAUAAUAUUCCAACUCAACUCUCUC